UCAUUUAGAACUGAGUGGAUUUCCGAGCGCCGCUCGCUUAUAUACCGAUUGGUGAUUUCAAUAGCCUGUUUUAAAGCAAUUUUAAGACUAUUGAAACAAGUUUUUGGAUCAAAAAGUAACAAGUAUAUAACGCGUAGACAUUUUAUCUUUCGAAUGAAGUGUUUAUCAUACCAUUUCGUUCAGUUGUUUAGGAGCUCUUAACGCUCAAAAUCUCGGUCUCUGGCGUAACGCUUUCGUUUUCGAAACUUUGAUUUUACACCCCGGUAUAGAAAUGAAAGACGUAGUCCUACGUCAAAAGAUUUUCCCACGAGCUGAAGUUCGUUGAAAAUGGAGUGUGAAACAAAUCUAGUUGAAUUUGUGAAAACAAACGAGUGCUUCAGGUCGAAGGAACAUCGACUGUGUGAAACCAGCCACACGAGAUAGAAAAUUUGGACUGAUAUACCAAAUGCACUGAAACAAGGAGUGUUGAAACGAAAGAGGAAGAGCCGUUACGUGAUAGAUAUUCGCGGAAUAAAUAUGCUCCAAGUAUAGGAUUGACACCGAUUGCAGCUUCAUCAUGGCAGUAUUUUGAAGCAUUAAAGAUUUUGUAAACACUUGUCAGCAAAUGAAGGACUGCCAGCAACUACGACCCUGAACGAUCAGUUCUCAGCACAAAAAUAUUGAUCUUCGCGACAUUAAGCUGAUGGUGAAAACAAUGCAUGCAGCAAAACCUCCGAU